GACUAAGCUCUGUCUCCAUCUACAUUUUUGCAUAAGGUUGCUCUCUGCCUUCCGAGGUUAAGCUUUACCUCCACAUUGCAUAAGGCUACUAUCUUCCUUUCGAGACUAAGCUCUAUCUACAUCCGCAUUUUUGCAUAAGGCUAUUCUCUGCCUUCCGAGGUUAAGUUCUAUCUCCUCAUUGCAUAAGGCUACUAUCUGCCUUUGCAUAAGGCUAUUCUCUGCCUUCCGA
rnacentral:lncRNA from 1 species